rnacentral:rRNA from 1 species
CCUACGGGUGGCUGCAGUCGAGAAUCUUCGGCAAUGGGCGCAAGCCUGACCGAGCGAUGCCGCGUGCGGGAUGAAGGCCCUUGGGUUGUAAACCGCUGUCAGGGGGGAUGAAGGCGCCGUGAAGAGCGGCGCUUGACAGAGCCCCAGAGGAAGGGCGGGCUAAGUUCGUGCCAGCAGCCGCGGUAACACGAACUGCCCGAGCGUUAUUCGGAAUCACUGGGCUUACAGGGUGCGUAGGCGGCCGGACAGGUCGGGUGUGAAAGGCCUUGGCUCAACCAAGGCACAGCGCCCGAAACCGUUCGGCUCGAGUCAGCUAGGGGUCCGCGGAACUUCCGGUGGAGCGGUGAAAUGUGUUGAUAUCGGAAGGAACGCCGGUGGCGAAAGCGGCGGACUGGGGCUGGACUGACGCUGAGGCACGAAAGCCAGGGGAGCGAACGGGA